AACGAAGUCUACCACUUUGAUUCUUUGCGUAAAGAAACACUGCGGUCCUUACUAGUCAAAUCAUUGUUAAAUAGUGUGAUGAAGGGGGUUAUUGCAUCUGGACUUCGACAACCAAAACCUCAUGUUUGGCAUUUAGUCGAGUGUCCGGUACAAGUAGGUGGACGGGUGUGUGGGUAUUACGUCAUGAGGUUCAUGCUCGAUAUCGU